rnacentral:rRNA from 1 species
GGACCUGACUGCUAUCGGAUUGAUACUAAGCCGUGCGAGUCAUUGUAGCAAUACAAGGCAGACGGCUCAGUAACGCGUAGUCAACCUAACCUAUGGACGGGAAUAACCUCGGGAAACUGAGAAUAAUGCCCGAUAGAACACUAUACCUGGAAUGGUUUGUGUUCCAAAUGAUUUAUCGCCGUAGGAUGGGACUGCGGCCUAUCAGUUUGUUGGUGAGGUAAUGGCCCACCAAGACUAUUACAGGUACGGGCUCUGAGAGGAGUAGCCCGGAGAUGGGUACUGAGACACGGACCCAGGCCCUAUGGGGCGCAGCAGGCGAGAAAACUUUGCAAUGUGCGAAAGCACGACAA